rnacentral:rRNA from 1 species
GAUGAACGCUGGCGGCGUGCCUAAUACAUGCAAGUCGAGCGAACGGACGAGAAGCUGGCUUCUCUGAUGUUAGCGGCGGGCGGGUGAGUAACACGUGGAUAACCUACCUAUAAGACUGGGAUAACUUCGGGAAACCGGAGCUAAUACCGGAUAAUAUUUUGAACCGCAUGGUUCAAAAGUGAAAGACGGUCUUGCUGUCACUUAUAGAUGGAUCCGCGCUGCAUUAGCUAGUUGGUAAGGUAACGGCUUACCAAGGCAACGAUGCAUAGCCGACCUGAGAGGGUGAUCGGCCACACUGGAACUGAGACACGGUCCAGACUCCUACGGGAGGCAGCAGUAGGGAAUCUUCCGCAAUGGGCGAAAGCCUGACGGAGCAACGCCGCGUGAGUGAUGAAGGUCUUCGGAUCGUAAAACUCUGUUAUUAGGGAAGAACAUAUGUGUAAGUAACUGUGCACAUCUUGACGGUACCUAAUCAGAAAGCCACGGCUAACUACGUG